AAACUAGACGCACUAAACUGUUGACUUUUCUCUCGGAAAAUCCAAGGUUGCCUAUGUAUCGAGUCCUGAUAACGAGUAGAUAUGAAGUAUAAAAGCGAUGGCAAACCUUCAGUUGCAUCGAAGACAUCGAAGUACUCUAUAAAACGUAGACAUGGCGAUAUUGAAACACGCUACGUGUCUACUAGUGCUGUUGGCCGUCAUCAGCUUAGUACUGGGUCAAACGGCUCAAGGAGGACCUCAUAUAUCGCAGGGAGGUGCCCAUGAAUCUCAAGGAGGCGCACACGAAGAUCAGGGCCGCGUUAAGAGACAGGCCGAACAAGAUGACGACGAAGACUCAGGAGUUGUGAGCUGGACUACCUGUGAUCUAACUACGACGCCGAAAUAUUCUUGCCAAGACUGCAAUACUCGUCUAAUCUGUCUACCGAUUGGUGGAAAAGUGAUCGGUUGUCCUAGUGUGUACAGGCCCUACUGCAACAACGGUCGCUGUUCCGCUAUUCCUAGCGCAGGCUGUGCUUAAGCUGUGUUUGUAAUGUUUCCAACGGUUAUAAGGGGUAUAAUAAUAAGUACUCGUUGAUGCAUUUAUACCGAGUGCAGUGAGCCAUUCAAAGCCGAAGUACUAGUUUACCUAUACAAUAAAGGUAUUAAUCUGCAAACAACUCCCUUGGCAGUGAUAUACGAAUAUUUGUCUUGAUGAUGGCAGCGUGUUUUUUCUAAUGUAAAUUUGUUGGACAGGCUAAGUAUAUCUUUUGAAUAUGACUGCAUAAUAUAGGUAUGUUUGUUUAACGUUAUACUAUAGGGAUUUAAUUGAUUCAUGUAAUAUUUAUAAAAUAUAAUAAAAAACGUUAUUCAACAAA